rnacentral:lncRNA from 1 species
CAGAUGAACAAAUGGUGUGAGAGAGCAAUCCUCACUCGUCUGGAGACGAUGAAACUAUUGAGAAGCAUAGCUGGUCAAUUAUUUAUUGUCUUCUUUAUCCAUUCCUUUCAUAAUGUCAAAAUCCAAGCCCUUCCUCAGUCUGUAUUGACGGCGAGCGCGUCAUCCAUCAGAGAGGAAGAGUCGGUAACAGUUCAGUGUUCGGCAAAGGAAGGAGACACUCCUAAAAAAUGUUAUAUUUACUGGUUUAUUCAAGCGAAGGAGCAAAACAAAAUCGCCUUCGACUGCCAGGCAACAUAUACAGGCUCUGACCUCUUGACACGUACCGGGGCUCUUGCUGAGGUGAAGCUUCGGUGUUUUUACACCACCGAUCGGGAUGAACCUGCUCCACACAGCGACAUCGUGUCUAUCACUGUAAGAAGAGGUGAGUUACUACCAUACACAUUUGAUGCUCUGUUCUUAUACAGUGAUGCUUUGCAUGUAUGUAUAUGUGUAUAUAUAUAUAUAUAUAUGUGUAUAUAUAUAUAUAUAUUAUCCCCGCGUCACCCGGAAGUGACGAUUCUGUCGACCAAUCCACGGAGGGGGGGUGUAGCUAGAAUUUCACGGGACCCUUUCAGGCGUCUGGUCUCGUUUUGGGUACCGCAACGGAGGAGUCCCGAGAAUGGGGCCGGAACGGGUACGGCAAAGUCCGGGUCACGCCCACUUUUGGCGGUGGAAACGCGACCUGACCCGCACCUUUGCGAUCCGAUCCGUUCCGCACCCUGCAGUGGAAACGCGCUAUUAGACUGAGCGGCAAUGAGGUCAGAGCGGGUUUGUUUGUUAUCGACAGCGUUGCCAGAUUGGGUAAAUUUCCCGCCAAAUG